rnacentral:rRNA from 1 species
UACGGGGGGGGCAAGCGUUGUUCGGAAUUACUGGGCGUAAAGGGCGCGUAGGCGGCCUACUAAGUCGGACGUGAAAUCCCUCGGCUCAACCGAGGAACUGCGUCCGAUACUGGUGGGCUUGAAUCCGGGAGAGGGAUGUGGAAUUCCAGGUGUAGCGGUGAAAUGCGUAGAUAUCUGGAGGAACACCGGUGGCGAAGGCGGCAUCCUGGACCGGUAUUGACGCUGAGGCGCGAAAGCUAGGGUAGCAAACGGG